rnacentral:misc_RNA from 1 species
CCAAACUUGGUCAUUUAGAGGAAGUAAAAGUCGUAACAAGGUUUCCGUAGGUGAACCUGCGGAAGGAUCAUUAAUGAAUUUGAAAAGAGGUUGCUUGCUGGUCCUUCAUGGACAUUGUGCACGCCUCUGAUCUCAUCCAUCUCACCCCUGUGCACCCUUGCGUGAGUCUUACAAGAGGUGCUUUUGCAUCCUUCGUGGGCUUGCGUCUUUUUAUCACAAACUCUUUUGUAUGUUUUGGAAUGCAUUGCUGUAUAAAUACGCAAUCUUGUACAACUUUCAACAACGGAUCUCUUGGCUCUCGCAUCGAUGAAGAACGCAGC